CUCAGGAGGAAGAGAACAAUUUUUAAUCCCUUUUUUCAGUGCAGGCUGGGGAAGAGGCAUGGUUCUGGAGUCCUGUGAUUGGUUCUGCCCAAGGUUAGUGCUCUGUGGGUGGAUGAGGGGAAGCGGAGAGCAGGAAUGGCAGGAGAGCGGUGAGAGACCUCCGUCCCAGUGAGGAUGACAUGUUCUAACUCAGGAAAUGAAUAGAUGCUCUUGCGAUUGAAGAAAAAUCUACGCUGGAGGCAGACAGGCUGGCAGCCAGCUCUUGCUGAUGGUGAGGAGCCUCAUUAUCUUAAGACAACACACAGUGGAGAUGUGCUUUACGUAAUUGGCCUGCCCUGUGAAAACCCCUGGCUGUUUUUUCAGGUGAGUUUUCUUAUAACUUAACUGCAGCUCCGUGACUUACUGCUUCUUUUCCAGGCUCUUCUAGGGAAAAUUUGCGUCUGUGGCCUUAGUCCAGAACACACCCUAGUCUUCUCUGGAGGGAAACACAGUCAGGGAAGGAAGAGAUUUUGUAAUGUGGACAGUGUUCGGUGUUCAUCGCUGAGGAAUCUGAGUGUCAGUUUGCAUUCAUCAUGGGCGGAGGGCCCCACAGCUGGCGGAAGGCCAGCUGCAGUGUAAAGGUAGGACUAAAUGGAGAGGACUUCCUGGGGUGGAGGAGGUAGAGAAAUCAAAGGACGCUCCCUGAGGUUAUGCCCUCUUGCUCCCUGUGUUCAUUUUCUGGAGCUGCCAUAACAAAAUACACAGCCUGGUUGGCUUAAACAACAGGAAUUUAUGGUCUUACAGUAUUGCAGGCUGGAAGUCCAAGAUCCAGGUGUCUUCAGGUUUGGUUUCUCCUGAGGCGUCUCUUCUUGACUUGCAGAUCAUUGCCUUCUUGCUAUGUCCUCAGAUGGUCUCUCCUUUGUGUGCCCCUGGUAUCUCUUUUUGUGUCCAAAUUUCCUCUUCUUAUAAGGACAAUAGUCAAAAUGGAUUAGGGCCCACCCUAAUGACCUAAUUUUAACUCAAUCACCUUUUAAAGGACCCGAGCUCCAAAUACAGCCACAUUCUGAGGUCCCAGUGGUUAGAUCAUCAGCAGGUGACUCUUAGAGGGAACAUAAUUCAGCCCAAAUGACUCCCUUUUGGCCAUUCUGAGAAUACUAAGCAGUGGAGACCUGAGCUUUUAGCACCUCUGGUCCUGCCAGACCUCAGAGAGCAUGAAUGGGAGAGAGAAUGGCCAGCCUAAGGUUAAGUAAAUGAAUAAUGAGUCACAAGUGUAGAAACAAUUUGAUCAUCAAAUUUUGUGUUUAAUAUAAAUCUUGGUGAGGGAAACUUAUUGGCAUGUCUUCAGGGUCAAACAGUUCUCCUACCUAUUUUUCUAUUUCUUUCACAAGGAAUUAGAUGUUUUCAAGUUAAAAAAAAAAAAGAAAAAGAAAAAACUAAAUCUUUAUAAAACCUUAGCAGAGUCUCCAGGGAAGUUGUGAAUUGUGUGUUUUGGUCCAUAAAAAAAAAAUACUCUAUUCUCCAGAGGAAGGCAUUGGUCAAUUUUGUAACAGAGAUUGAAACUGAGGCCAAAUGUUACCAUUUCACUCUUGAUAUUUAUCUGGAUUAGGAUGUGUACAAACCUUGUGACCUAGCAUUACAAGAAGAUUUUGUUUGCUUUGCAUUAGUGAGCCUACUUGGACAUUUGCUAUACUAGAAGAUUUUGGUAGUGCUUUGCUUCUAUUGCAGCCUAUAUGGGUAAUGAUUGUAAAAUCAUCUUGAGCUAAUGCUCCUGAAAAGGCUUUAUCUCUGAAACCAGAUUGUAGCUCUGAGUAAGAAGGGUCCUUGUCUUACAUUGGCUUGAUUCUCCUAAGCAUAAAAUUGGAGUAAUUUUACUCAUUACCUACUACUUAGAGGUCCAACCUUCUCUGUUGCAGACACUGUUGGUUGCCCACCAGGGAGUUAUUUCCCCCUUUUUACCUUGCUAUCAAAACCGUGAUUUU
rnacentral:lncRNA from 10 species